rnacentral:rRNA from 1 species
CCCUUAGAUGUUCUGGGCUGCACGCGCGCUACACUGAUGCGUUCAACAAGUGUUAACCUUGCCCGAUAGGGUUGGGUAAUCUUUUGAAAGCGCAUCGUGAUGGGGAUCGAUGACUGCAAUUGUUCAUCUUCAACGAGGAAUUCCUAGUAAGCGCAAGUCAUCAGCUUGCACUGAUUACGUCCCUGCCCUUUGUACACACCGCCCGUCGCUCCUACCGAUUGAGUGCUCAGGUGAAUAAUUCGGACUGCAGCAAUGUUUGGAUCCCGAACGUUGCAGCGGAAAGUUUAGUGAACCUUAUCACUUAGAGGAAGGAGAAGUCGUAACA